UNCUACCUUCACUCUGAGUGCAUGUGUGGU
rnacentral:piRNA from 1 species